GUGCCAGCCGCCGCGGUAAUACGUAGGUGGCGAGCGUUGUCCGGAAUUACUGGGUGUAAAGGGCGUGUAGGCGGGGAUGUAAGUCAGAUGUGAAAUUCCAAGGCUCAACCUUGGCGCUGCAUCUGAAACUAUGUCUCUUGAGUGCUGGAGAGGAAAGCGGAAUUCCUAGUGUAGCGGUGAAAUGCGUAGAUAUUAGGAGGAACACCAGUGGCGAAGGCGGCUUUCUGGACAGUAACUGACGCUGAGGCGCGAAAGCGUGGGGAGCAAACAGGAUUAGAAACCCCCGUAGUCC
rnacentral:rRNA from 1 species